GUGAUAUUUCCAUGAAGCAAAUGGAAAAAGUAGGUAGCUCUAAACGGCACAAUAAGUCUUACACUAUGUCAGUAUAUGCAACGGAUUGGUGUGGGUGCCAACUUUUCUAAUAUGUUAUAUGUAUCAGAAAAGACCACUUCAGCUUCAUCAACGCCCUAAAUAAUCAAGCGGCGCAU